rnacentral:tRNA from 1 species
AGGAUUAUAGUUUAUCUAAAACAUUUGAUUUGCAAUCAAAAAAUAUUGUAUACAAUUUAUCUU